UUUAUGGAGAGUUUGAUCCUGGCUCAGGAUGAACGCUGGCGGCGUGCCUAAUACAUGCAAGUCGAGCGAACAGAUAAGGAGCUUGCUCCUUUGACGUUAGCGGCGGACGGGUGAGUAACACGUGGGUAACCUACCUAUAAGACUGGAAUAACUCCGGGAAACCGGGGCUAAUGCCGGAUAACAUGUUGAACCGCAUGGUUCUACAGUGAAAGACGGUCUUGCUGUCACUUAUAGAUGGACCCGCGCCGUAUUAGCUAGUUGGUGGGGUAACGGCCUACCAAGGCGACGAUACGUAGCCGACCUGAGAGGGUGAUCGGCCACACUGGAACUGAGACACGGUCCAGACUCCUACGGGAGGCAGCAGUAGGGAAUCUUCCGCAAUGGGCGAAAGCCUGACGGAGCAACGCCGCGUGAGUGAUGAAGGUCUUCGGAUCGUAAAGCUCUGUUGUUAGGGAAGAACAAAUGUGUAAGUAACUGUGCACAUCUUGACGGUACCUAACCAGAAAGCCACGGCUAACUACGUGCCAGCAGCCGCGGUAAUACGUAGGUGGCAAGCGUUAUCCGGAAUUAUUGGGCGUAAAGCGCGCGUAGGCGGUUUUUUAAGUCUGAUGUGAAAGCCCACGGCUCAACCGUGGAGGGUCAUUGGAAACUGGAAAACUUGAGUGCAGAAGAGGAAAGUGGAAUUCCAUGUGUAGCGGUGAAAUGCGCAGAGAUAUGGAGGAACACCAGUGGCGAAGGCGGCUUUCUGGUCUGCAACUGACGCUGAUGUGCGAAAGCGUGGGGAUCAAACAGGAUUAGAUACCCUGGUAGUCCACGCCGUAAACGAUGAGUGCUAAGUGUUAGGGGGUUUCCGCCCCUUAGUGCUGCAGCUAACGCAUUAAGCACUCCGCCUGGGGAGUACGGUCGCAAGACUGAAACUCAAAGGAAUUGACGGGGACCCGCACAAGCGGUGGAGCAUGUGGUUUAAUUCGAAGCAACGCGAAGAACCUUACCAAAUCUUGACAUCCUUUGACCGCUCUAGAGAUAGAGUUUUCCUCUUCGGAGGACAAAGUGACAGGUGGUGCAUGGUUGUCGUCAGCUCGUGUCGUGAGAUGUUGGGUUAAGUCCCGCAACGAGCGCAACCCUUGAACUUAGUUGCCAUCAUUCAGUUGGGCACUCUAAGUUGACUGCCGGUGACAAACCGGAGGAAGGUGGGGAUGACGUCAAAUCAUCAUGCCCCUUAUGAUUUGGGCUACACACGUGCUACAAUGGACAAUACAAAGGGCAGCAAAACCGCGAGG
rnacentral:rRNA from 1 species